rnacentral:rRNA from 1 species
CCCUUAGAUGUCCGGGGCUGCACGCGCGCUACACUGAAGGAAUCAGCGUGCUAAAACCAUUGUCGAAAGGCAUUGGUAAACCCAUUAAAAUCCUACGUGAUUGGGAUCGGGAAUUGCAAUUAUUUCCCUUGAACGAGGAAUUCCCAGUAAGUGUGGGUCAUAAGCUCGCGUUGAUUACGUCCCUGCCCUUUGUACACACCGCCCGUCGCUGCCCGGGACUGAGCCGUUUCGAGAAAAGCGGGGACUGCUGCUGUCGGGGCUUCCGGGCCUUGGCUUCGGUGGAAACCGCUUUAAUCGCAGUGGCUUGAACCGGGCAAAAGUCGUAACA